CCAGGGAAGAAGAGAGAUCUCAUAGAUGCAUAUUUGUAUGAAAUUGCAAAACCAGAAGAUGCCCAAGAGGAUAACACAACAUUUACGGAGGAUCAGCUUCUCAUGGUGUUAUACGACAUGUUAGUUGCUGGCUUGGAAGAAACAAGCAGCGCUCUUCAAUUUGCUUUUCUUAUGAUGUUACGGCAUCCCGAUGUCCAAGAACGAGUGCACAAUGAGAUAAAAGAAGCAGUUGGUACUGACGGACCUCCAACACUCGAAGACAAAGACAGGUUGGUUUACACCAGAGCUGCCCUAAUGGAGUCACAGAGAAUGUCUUACGUGUUACCAAUACGUGGAUUUCGGCGGGUUCUCGAAGACACCACGCUACACGGCUAUAGACUCCCAGUG